rnacentral:lncRNA from 1 species
AGGAUGACUAACAUCCUGAGUUAGACACAGCAGGAUCCAGCAAGGAGCCUCCCAGAUGGAGUACAUGGAGACCAUGACUGUGAAAGAUGAGGAUCAAGUGCAGAUUUGGUGGCCUCUGAUUGCCAGUAUCUGGCAGCCACAUUCUCUUCCCACAAGAUGUGCUGGAAAUAUGACCAAGCAGAAGUUCACUUAAGUGAAUCCAACAGUUAAACCUACCAUGGAAGGGUGUGGUGCACAGAGGGCAUGUGGAGAAGAGAAGACCACAGUGGGAACCUCCAAGGAACUAACAUCUAGCUGGGGAUGAGGGGGGAUUUGGCUAUGUAGAGAGUAAAUAAAGUGAUAUGAG